rnacentral:rRNA from 1 species
CCCUUAGAUGUUCUGGGCCGCACGCGCGCUACACUGACACGUUCAACGAGUUUUGCCUGCUCCGAUGGGACUGGGUAAUCUUAUGAAAGCGUGUCGUGAUGGGGAUAGAUUAUUGCAAUUAUUAAUCUUCAACGAGGAAUUCCUAGUAAGUACAAGUCAUCAGCUUGUGCUGAUUACGUCCCUGCCCUUUGUACACACCGCCCGUCGCUCCUACCGAUUGGGUGAUCCGGUGAAUAACUCGGACUGCAGCUAUUCGGGAGACCGUUAGCUUGUGGAAAGUUUAGUAAAUCUUAUCACUUAGAGGAAGGAGAAGUCGUAACA